rnacentral:lncRNA from 1 species
CUAAGCCCAUCAACCAGGCAGUCUAGUGAGAGGAAACGCAGCGGCGAGGCCGAUGGCUCCCACUGGCGAGAAGAACUGAAAAUAAAGGAAUACUACAGGAAGUGGGGGCAGUGGAUUAAAAUGUCACAACUGGAAAGCAGGAUGCUGAAUCUUGAGUUACGUGUUGAGAGAAGAGAAAGAGAAGGAGGAACUGAGGAGGAGCCAGCCAAGGCGGGGGUCUGCUGAGCUGGCGGAAUGUGGCAGGGCUGGGACGCUACAGAAGUAAAAGUGAUACUAAGUGACAAGAACAAGCAGUUGGAAAAAGUCUGUCUUAAAAGGAGGUUUGCAACAUACAAGCUUACAAUUACUAACUGAUAACCAGGAGCAGAAUCAAGACACAGCCCAAGUUUCCAGACUCCUGUCUCUCCAGACUCCCAAUCUAAUAUUCGUCUUACCACGCCCUCCUGCACCCUUGCAGCUACUCCACAUCAGCAAUUCAUUCUCAGUUUUUCUCUCACACUUUUUUUUUAACUAAUAAAUUUCUCUUUCAUUCUCAAUUCAGAGUUGGGGUUUUGGAGAGCCCUUCAGAAAUAAGGAGGGCAGCAGGGCGAACUAAGAAG